rnacentral:ncRNA from 1 species
CUAUGGCAAGUCUUUUGUCAUGGCGGAAGGAG